CGGUAAGAAACCAACAGGGAUUGCCUCAGUAACGGCGAGUGAAGCGGCAAAAGCUCAAAUUUUAAAGCUGGCACCUCCGGUGUCCGCGUUGUAAUUUUGUGAGGCAUCUCCGGGUAGGGCGCCGGCCUAAGUUCCUUGGAACAGGACGUCAUAGAGGGUGAGAAUCCCGUGCUUGGCUGGCUGUCCCCGUCCAUGUGAGGUGUCUUCGACGAGUCGAGUUGUUUGGGAAUGCAGCUCAAAAUGGGUGGUAAAUUUCAUCUAAAGCUAAAUAUUGGUGGGAGACCGAUAGCGCACAAGUAGAGUGAUCGAAAGAUGAAAAGCACUUUGAAAAUAGAGUUAAAAAGUACGUGAAAUUGUUGAAAGGGAAGCGCUUGAGACCAGACUUCGGUGGGGAGUGAUCAGCCGUCCUUCUGGGCGGUGCACUUGCUCCCCUCCGGGCCAGCAUCGGUUGGGACGGCGGGAUAAAGGUCCCGGGAAUGUGGCUCCUUUCGGGGAGUGUUAUAGCCCGGGUGAAUGCCGCCAGCCCCGACCGAGGACCGCGCCUUCGGGCUAGGAUGCUUGGCAUAAUGGUCUUCAGCGACCCGUCUUGAAACACGGACCAAGGAGUCUAACAUCUAUGCGAGUGUUUGGGUGUCAAACCCUUACGCGAAAUGAAAGUGAACGGAGGUGGGAACCCGCAAGGGUGCACCAUCGACCGGUCCCGAAGUCUUCUGAAGGAUCUGAGUAGGAGCAUAGCUGUUGGGACCCGAAAGAUGGUGAACUAUGCCUGAAUAGGGUGAAGCCAGAGGAAACUCUGGUGGAGGCUCGCAGCGGUUCUGACGUGCAAAUCGAUCGUCAAAUUUGGGUAUAGGGGCGAAAGACUAAUCGAACCCAUCUUU
rnacentral:rRNA from 1 species